rnacentral:lncRNA from 1 species
UUCUAGAAACCCUAAUCUGAUUGCUAGGGUUUUUAAGUGCCUAUAUAUACUCUCUUAAACCUCUUGGCCGAACCUACCAGCCCCCAUAUCAUUCAUUCACGCCAAAAACCCUAGUUCUCUCUUUGCCGCAACCUUCCACCCCCAAACCCCCAUAUUUCUGCCACAAUUCACCAGUGCCGUGCCUUCCCACCACCAUCACCACCUUGUGCAGCCACUAAAGGAGGAGAAAGAAGGAGUGCCGUGCAGUCCAAAGGAAGGAGAAGCCUUGCACAUGCAAUCUGCCAUUAGUGGAGUGUUUGGAGUUCUUUCUUUCUUUGUUUCUGUUUUCAUGUUUAAUUUAACUUGCCUUUCAAUUAUGUUAGACAUGUGGAACUAAUUUCUUUUUAGUUAGAGGCGAAUUUGAAGCCAUGAUCAUAUGUUUUAUAUGACUUGAUUUCUUCCAAUUAUGAUUUCAUAAAUCGUGAAUGUGGUUUACUUAUCUAUUUGAUUGAUAACUUGUUUAUGUAUGUGGGUUGAGGGUCGACACUUAAUUUGCAUGCCUAAACUUGAUGCUAGGAUAUAAGGGAAUUUCACCUAAUCGUUAUUAACUUAUAUUCAUAAGUAGUAAAAAUCGCUAGUCACGAUUGCGUUAAGUAAAUCCUAGGCAAGAGUAACAUGCGUAUCCCAUAGUUAUGAAUGCCUCGUCAAUGCUUAUGAUUUCCAUUGAACUUAAUGAUCUUUGAUAUGUGUCUCUAUCAUGCGUAUUCCAUAGUUAGGGUCCUUGAUAAGAAUAAUUUGGUUGUAAUGCGUAUUCCAUUCAAUUCAAUGAAUCUAGGGAAAUCUGAGAAUUAAUUGGUGCAAUCUAGUUAAUUUGGGGCAUUGUCAUUCAUGGUUUGUUGAAAGAGUAAUUGGAAAUCGAGUUGUAUGCAUAUGUUCAUGUGUGGAUAAGGAACCCUCUAACUAGUUUCUCAUCAUUCUAUUUCAUCACAAUCUGUUUUGCUUUAAGUUUGUUUUCAAAGUUUAAGUUUUAAAGUUUUAAGUUCGUCAAAAUCAAUCCCCCAUUUAUUUUAAAGUGUUAGAUUAGUUAGAAAUCAAUUUAGUUUGUGUUUUUAAGUGUCUUGAGUCAAGUUUUAGUCCAAUUCCGUCCAAAUUAGUGUUAGGUACUCAAAACUGCCCAGAAAGUGGUUUUAAGGCAGUUUUGAGUCUUUUAGUUGCUGUUUUGAGUUUUUGGUUGAUUUAAGUGUUUUAAACUCUAGUUUUGCAUUAAUU